rnacentral:rRNA from 1 species
UGUAGGCGUAUACCAAAGUUGUUGCAGUUAAAACGCUCGUAGUCGGAAUUUGGCAGUUCCGGAUGUGUGCACGUCGUGUGCGCACUUCGCGGGGAUUGCUUUUGUGGUCUUGCGUAGGAUGAGGCACUUUUAUUAGUGAACGUCCUCACGCAACCACUUUUUACUGUGAGAAAAUCAGAGUGCUCAAAGCAGGCAUUUGCCGUGAAUGUAUUAGCAUGGAAUAAUAGAAUAGGACUUGGUUCUAUUUUGUUGGUUUGUUGGGACUGAGUAAUGAUUAAGAGGGACAGUUGGGGGCAUUUGUAUUUCGGUGCUAGAGGUGAAAUUCUUAGAUUACCGAAAGACAAACUGCUGCGAAAGCGUCUACCAAGGAUGUUUUCAUUGA